CCAUGUUCUCCUUCUCCAAACUCUUUAAUCACUUGGUCUCUGUGACCCUGUUCUCUCUUGGUUUUCCUCCUAUCUCUCCAAACGCUCAUUCGGUGUCUCCUUUUCUAAUGAUACUUCCUCCCUUUAUCCUGUCUUUGUUGAAGUCCCCCAAGGCUCUGUACUAUCCUGCCUCUCAUGACAAACGUAUUACUUCAUUUGGAUUCCAAUACCACCUGUACGCUGUUGACACUCAGAUAUACCUCUC